UAUGUUUCAGAACUAUACGAUAAAUCCUCUCUUUAUCAUAUAUGAGCAUAGUUUUAAGGACUUCAUCACAACACAAGAGUUCAAAGAAGAUGUUACUUUAUGAUAAAAAAAUAUCAGAAUAAUUUUUAUUUAUUAAACAAUAAUUCAUAUACAAGGAUAAACUCAAUCAUCACAUGAUUAGUUUUAGGACACAAUUUCCAAUAAGGAUGUCUCGAGAGAGAGCACGGGCU
rnacentral:lncRNA from 1 species